rnacentral:rRNA from 1 species
UCCUACGGGGGGCAGCAGUGGGGGAUAUUGCACAAUGGGGGAAACCCUGAUGCAGCGACGCCGCGUGAGUGAAGAAGUAUUUCGGUACGUAAAGCUCUAUCAGCAGGGAAGAAAAAUGACGGUACCUGAGUAAGAAGAACCGGCUAAAAACGUGCCAGCAGCCGCGGUAAUACGUAUGGUGCAAGCGUUAUCCGGAUUUACUGGGUGUAAAGGGAGCGCAGGCGGUGCGGCAAGUCUGAUGUGAAAGCCCGGGGCUCAACCCCGGGGCUGCAUUGGUAACAACCGAACAAG